GACUACAACUUUUUUCAUUUCUGAUAAUCUUUAGCUCCAGGCUAAAAUAACUGUCAUCCUUGCCUUGUUCACAUUAAUAAAAAUUAAUGAAUGUGACUCUUUCUGUCCAUCAGUUCACUUCUCACUUGUAUGAGCUCAGGUAACAUUGGAGGCAAUAGGGUGGGGCUUAUGCUACAGCUUUCAGAUCAUUAGUGCUAAACAUUAAGCUCUGGGGAGGGUUCAGGCUCUUGCCUUCUCAAAAGUCUACAGAGUUUUCACUCUGUGAUAUAGCUUUCAGUAUUAACAGGUCGAAGUCCGGUGAUUACAAUUUACUAUGUGCUGGACUCUUCCAUGUAUUAUCUCAAAUACUGCUUCCAGCCAACCUUAGAAGUUAAGUACUGUCAUCAUCCUUGUUUUACAGAAGCACAAGGAAGUUAAGUAACUUAACCACGUGCACGCCAAGAUUUGCAGCCAGGUAGUCUUCAGAUCCUAUGUGCUUCGCUGUGUCCCAGUGCCAGCCUCAUGCACGUUCGUUUGGGCAGCUCCAUUAGGUAAUCCCUCACUACUUACCUGCUCAAGCCAUAGUCAACAGGACCUUUCAAAAGAUCAAGUUAGCCCUAAAAGGUCCGAUGAGUCACAUUCUGAGCAGAAAAAUCUGGCAUUGAGGCAUAAUUAA
rnacentral:lncRNA from 1 species